UACGAAGGGGGCUAGCGUUGCUCGGAAUCACUGGGCGUAAAGAGCGCGUAGGCGGCCAUUCAAGUCGGAGGUGAAAGCCCAGGGCUCAACCCUGGAAUUGCCUUCGAUACUGUCUGGCUAGAGACCGGAAGAGGUAAGUGGAACUGCGAGUGUAGAGGUGAAAUUCGUAGAUAUUCGCAAGAACACCAGUGGCGAAGGCGGCUUACUGGUCCGGUUCUGACGCUGAGGCGCGAAAGCGUGGGGAGCAAACAGG
rnacentral:rRNA from 1 species